AUACGGGGGAUGCAAGCGUUAUUCGGAAUCAUUGGGCGUAAAGGGCACGCAGGCGGUUCUGUCAGUCAGAUGUGAAAGUCCGGGGCUUAACCCCGGACGUGCAUUUGAAACAGCAGGACUUGAGUAUGGUAGAGGAAAGCGGAAUUCCUGGUGUAGAGGUGAAAUUCGUAGAUAUCAGGAGGAACACCGGUGGCGAAGGCGGCUUUCUGGACCAAAACUGACGCUGAGGUGCGAAGGCGUGGGUAGCGAACAGGAGUAGAAACCCCAGUAGUCC
rnacentral:rRNA from 1 species